GCAGGAAUCACUCUCCAGGAAACAGAAGAUGCUGGGGAGCAGAUCUGAUUCUAGUGUGACCCAGAAGAGGACUAAAAACAGAGCCUGGAAAAUUGGAUCAAGUUUCGAUUGAUCUCAGCAACCGACCGGCAGCCUAAAAGAACAAUGAGGUUACAAGCUCAUUUCUCUCAAAUACCAGCAAUUCACCUCAUCAUGGGGUGACAAAAAUAGAAAGUCUCUCCACCAUGAAGGCACUAAGUCUUUUUGGCAAGACAAGUAUGCUCGGCCAUCGCCUGCAUGUCUGGAUUGCAGCCUGACUUGGGAAACUGGGCUGCACACUAUUUCUCAUGCACCACUUGGCCAACUUGUCCCUGACUCCCUCAUGGCGUAUCUGAGAAAAUGAGAUAGGACUAAAGUACAACAUGGUAAAACUAAAUUUUGAGAUUUUGAUAGACACAAUAAAAACAUCUUAUCACCUUGGCUUGAUUUUUCUAAGGAGCUUUGUCUCUUAUGUCGCCUCUUCAAUUCCAGGGAACAGGCCAAUAGGCCUUGACCACACAAGGUGCCCCAGGCCAAUCUUUGCUUCUAGGCACCUACAAGUCUGUAAAGAGGAGUGACAGCAGGCCCCUUAUGGAUCAAGGGAGAAGAUCCUUGGGGAGGGAGUUCGGAAACUCCCUCGGGAUUCUAUCUAUGCUUCUCUGAGAGAUAGCCUGAGAAGAGGAGUCAAAACUUGGCCCUAUGAGGCCAUCUGCUGCCAAAGGAAUCCAUCAGCAUUCUAUCUGAAUGGGAUCCUUUGGCCGAGACUGAACAGUAUAAGAAACUAGUAAGGAAAUAAUUUUCUACUUUAAUUUAUAGGUGAGGGGGUGGAAUUGAAUAUGUUUGGAACUUACAUGUAAUAACUAGAGAUAAUUCACAUUCUAAUAAGAGGCAUUUUCUUUCCCUAGGAAACGAAUAUCAGUAUUUGCAUUUAAUAAACAUUUACCUUCUCAGAAAAAUGGAUUUUUCUCUCUGCAGAAGAGAUUUACGCCAAGCUAGAGGGUACUAUUAAAGCAACUUUCUUGAGAUGUUUUUUGACUGGCGCCUGUCUACGUACGUAUGACUAUAACAUACAUCAGUGUUUUUAUGGAAAUAUAUACAGUGAGGCAUGAAAACCAGGAUGCACCCAAGUAAAGCAUAUUCCAUCCCCAAAAUAUAAGCUGUAUAAGGAAUUAAUAUCUAUAGGGACUAUAUGAAUACUUCUGGUUUAAAAACUCAUCUGAUCUAUAGACAUUGUGAAAAUUGUGUUUGAGGCAUACUUUCAAAAGGAUUACAUUGGAAAUGAAAUAAUUGAUUCUGUUUAUCCAUUUCAAAGUUAAGGAAAGGUUCUUAAGACAGAACUGAUUCUUUUCUUUACAUGUUAAGUCCAAAACAAGUUGUGGAGGUUUUAGGAACUGAAUAUAGCCUAACAGUGCCAGGAUCACUUUAAGUUCUCAGGCAGUGGAGGUAUAUAUAUAUGGCUGUAUAGAUCUAAAAGAUUUUUUUUUGAUUAUUAUUAUACUUUAAG